rnacentral:rRNA from 1 species
UGGCUCAGGACGAACGCUGGCGGCGUGCCUAAUACAUGCAAGUCGAACGGUCUUUCUAUGGAAGCUUGCUUCCACUGAGAAGAUAGUGGCGAACGGGUGAGUAACACGUGGGUAACCUGCCCAUAAGAGGGGGAUAACAUCCGGAAACGGGUGCUAAUACCGCAUAGUUUUCUUGAUCGCAUGAUCGGGAAAGGAAAGACGGCCUUUGUGCUGUCGCUUAUGGAUGGACCCGCGGCGUAUUAGUUAGUUGGUGAGGUAACGGCUCACCAAGACGAUGAUACGUAGCCGACCUGAGAGGGUGAUCGGCCACAUUGGGACUGAGACACGGCCCAAACUCCUACGGGAGGCAGCAGUAGGGAAUCUUCCGCAAUGGACGAAAGUCUGACGGAGCAACGCCGCGUGAGUGAAGAAGGUUUUUCCGGAUCGUAAAACUCUGUUGUCAGAGAAGAACAAGUUGGAGAGUAACUGCUCCAGCCUUGACGGUAUCUGACCAGAAAGCCACGGCUAACUACGUGCCAGCAGCAGC